ACUCAAAUGAAUUGACGGGGACCCGCACAAGCGGUGGAGCAUGUGGUUUAAUUCGACGGUAAGCGAGGAACCUUACCAAGGCUUGACAUGUACCUGCAUCCUCUGGAAACAGAGGCGCCUUCGAGGGUGGUACACAGGUGCUGCACGGUUGUCGUCAGCUCGUGUCGUGAGAUGUGCACUUAAGUGUGCGAACGAGCGCAACCCCUAUUGUUGGUUACAAGUGUCCAACGAGACUGCCAGGGUUUAACCUGGAGGAAGGUGGGGAUGACGUCAAAUCAGCGUGGCUCUUACGCCUUGGGCCACACACGUGCUACAAUGGGCAAUAACAAAGGGACGCCAAGUCGCAAGAUGGAGCAAAUCCCGGCAAAAUUGCCCCCAGUUCAGAUUGAGGGCUGCAACUCGCCCUCAUGAAGCCGGAAUCGCUAGUAACCGUAGAUCAGCCUCGCUACGGUGAAUACGUUCUCGGGUUUUGUACACACCGCCCGU
rnacentral:rRNA from 1 species